rnacentral:rRNA from 1 species
UACGUAGGGUGCGAGCGUUAAUCGGAAUUACUGGGCGUAAAGGGUGCGUAGGCGGAAAUGUAAGUUAAGAUGUGAAAUUCCUGAGCUUAACUUAGGGAUAGCAUUUAAGACUGCAUAUCUAGAGUUUGUGAGAGGGGGGUAGAAUUCCAAGUGUAGCAGUGAAAUGCGUAGAGAUUUUGGAGGAAUACCGAUGGCGAAAGGCAGCCCCCCUG